rnacentral:lncRNA from 1 species
ACUUGCCAGCUUGUUUCUUGCGUAAUCGAGCUGAUCAGCUCCUGGUGGGUGUUUCCCUUGCACGUAAUUGUAUAUCCACGACAACGCCGUUAAUGCCGCCACCCCACACCCGCCCGAAAACAAGAACCCCGUCGUCACCAAGAAUAUGGUUAUCCCGGCCGGGACUAGAACCGGACUGAAGAUAACCAUCAACGGCGUAGCUAUUAUCAAGGCAAUGACCGUCCCGGUCAAGGUUAACCCAGACAAGAAAAGCAGCGUUGCGCCCAACGUCGAGGCGGUCAAGAACUUAGCCACCUGGCGAGACGACGGAGCUGAGUCGUAGAGCUUUUGAGCCAUGGGUCUGUUUUGAUCGUUGAUCGGCAUGAUUAUGAUGAUGGUAAG